rnacentral:rRNA from 1 species
GAUGAACGCUGGCGGCGUGCUUAACACAUGCAAGUCGAGCGAAGCGAUUGAACGGAAGUUUUCGGAUGGAAGUUCAAUUGACUGAGCGGCGGACGGGUGAGUAACGCGUGGGUAACCUGCCUCAUACAGGGGGAUAACAGUUAGAAAUGACUGCUAAUACCGCAUAAGACCACAGCACCGCCUGGUGCAGAGGUAAAAACUCCGGUGGUAUGAGAUGGACCCGCGUCUGAUUAGCUAGUUGGUGAGGUAACGGCCCACCAAGGCGACGAUCAGUAGCCGACCUGAGAGGGUGACCGGCCACAUUGGGACUGAGACACGGCCCAAACUCCUGCGGGAGGCAGCAGUGGGGAAUAUUGCACAAUGGGCGAAAGCCUGAUGCAGCAACGCCGCGUGAGUGAAGAAGUAUUUCGGUAUGUAAAGCUCUAUCAGCAGGGAAGAAAAUGACGGUACCUGACUAAGAAGCCCCGGCUAACUACGUGCCAGCAGCCGCGGUAAUACGUAGGGGGCAAGCGUUAUCCGGAUUUACUGGGGUGUAAAGGGAGCGUAGACGGCGAAGCAAGUCUGGAGUGAAAACCCAGGGCUCAACCCUGGGACUGCUUUGGAAACUGUUUUGCUGGAGUGUCGGAGAGGUGAGUGGAAUUCCUAGUGUAGCGGUGAAAUGCGUAGAUAUUAGGAGGAACACCAGUGGCGAAGGCGGCUCACUGGACGAUAACUGACGUUGAGGCUCGAAAGCGUGGGGAGCAAACAGGAUUAGAUACCCUGGUAGUCCACGCCGUAAACGAUGAAUGCUAGGUGUUGGGGAGCAAAGCUCUUCGGUGCCGUCGCAAACGCAAUAAGCAUUCCACCU